GAUGAACGCUGGCGGCGUGCCUUAUACAUGCAAGUCGAGUGGGUUUAGACCCACGGCGAACGGGUGAGUAACACGUAGGUACUUUCCUUGUCACAGGAAUAACCCUCCGAAAGGAGGGCUAAUACCUGAUGUGAUCGCAAGAUUAAAGGGUAGCCGCAAGGAUUACCGGACAAGAAGAGGCCUGCGGCCUAGCAGCUAGUUGGCGGGGUAAAUGCCCACCAAGGCUAUGACGGGUAGCUGGUCUUAUGAGGAUGAUCAGUCACGUGGGCACUGAGACACGGGCCCAACUCCUACGGGAGGCAGCAGGAGUGAAUUUUGCGCAAUGGGCGAAAGACGGACGCAGGGACGCCGCGUGCGGAAUGAAGGCCUUCGGGUCGUAAACCGCUUUUAUAAGGGACGAACUUUGACGGUACCUUAUGAAUAAGAGGCUGCUAACUCCGUG
rnacentral:rRNA from 1 species